rnacentral:rRNA from 1 species
GCAGCCGCGGUAAUACAUAGGGGGCGAGCGUUAUCCGGAAUUAUUGGGCGUAAAGCGUGCGUAGGCGGUAAGGAAAGUCUGGCGUGAAAUAUCAUGGCUUAACCAUGGGAGGUCGUUGGAAACUGUCUUACUUGAAUCCAGAAGAGGUAAGUGGAAUUCCAUGUGUAGCGGUAAAAUGCAUAGAUAUAUGGAGGAACACCAGUGGCGAAGGCGGCUUACUGGUCUGGCAUUGACGCUGAGGCACGAAAGCGUGGGUAGCAAACAGGAUUAGAUACCCC